rnacentral:rRNA from 1 species
AGUGGCGCAAGGGUGAGUAAGGCGACGGUAACCAACCCCAGGACUGGGUAUAGCCGCGGGAAACUGCGGGUAAUCCCCAGCGAUGUCGCGGCGAGGCAUCUCGCUGCGACCAAAGCUCCGGCGUCGUGGGACGGGCCGUCGUGGUAUUAGGUGGUUGGCGGGGUAACGGCCCACCAAGCCUGCGAUGCCUACCGGGCGUGCGAGCGUGGCCCGGCACACUGGGACUGUGACACUGCCCAGACUCCUACGGGAGGCUGCAGUCGAGAAUCUUCGGCAAUGGGCGCAAGCCUGACCGAGCGACGCCGCGUGGAGGACGAAGGCCUUCGGGUUGUAAACUCCUGUCGAGGGGGAAGAAGGCCCCGCAAGGGGCGUGACUGAUCCCUGGAGGAAGCACGGGCUAAGUUCGUGCCAGCAGCCGCGGUAAGACGAACCGUGCGAACGUUAUUCGGAAUCACUGGGCUUAAAGCGCGUGUAGGCGGGACGGCACGUCGGUCGCUGAAAGCCCCCGGCUCAACCGGGGAACGGGCGCCGA